GCUAUUUCAAUGAUUCGAGGGCGCUUUAUCUCGGGGGGUCGCUAGGACCAAAAAAAAGAACAGAUACAGGGGUAACCAGUCGGACACAACUGGAUAUUCUUGGCGGAACCUGGCUAGGACUACCUAACUACUCAAAACCAGAUUAUGCUACACAGGAAGUUGGAGAAGCACCCGCAACCUCCACACUAACGGUCGCUUCCUAAACAUCUCUCCGCCAAUCCCACUGCCACGCGCCGACCCUUGUACGCCAAACUCUCCUCUAAGCAACGACCCGCAAGUCGACGACCCUCCAGCUGGUUGUGGGCGAGGAGGCUACCUUUGGCGGCGUCGCGGUCGCGGUGCGCAGGUCCGCGAGCGGCUGCGGCCGCAUGGGGCGGACGGCCGCGUCAUGUAGGUCGGUGGGCUGGAGGCGCGCCCGGGGAGGGAGAGCUGGAGGGACUGAGGGAGAGCCGGGGCAGCACCUGACGAGCCUGCGGCGACGAUGGUGUUGGCCGCGCCAGCCGGCGCGCACGCGGCUCACCCCGCGGAAAGUGCAGCAGUUGGUGCCCAAGGGCGGCCCCGACGAGCUGCGGUACGCCCGGCAGCCCAACCGGAAGAAGACGCGCGGGUACCGCCUCUUCGAGGACAAGGCGCUUGAACGGGCCACCGGGCUGAAGCAGGGGCCUAUGUCUUUAGACCGAUGACAAACGACGGUUGAUAACACCAUUGACCAUGUGUAUUUCGGUGUAUUACAUAGCUCAAUAAUACAAAUCUAUCGUACCUACGGACACUUGAAACCAACUUUUCGAUUUAAGAAACACAACGGGUACGUUAGGAGAGCUUGAAUGUUCCUGGCCCAAAACGUAACUUCCACUCGUAUGCUUGUAGGAAUCAUCAUUAUAUUUAAUUCAUCUACCAAAUCAUAAAGUCAUAAAGUACCAAGAGAUAGAAUAUUUCCUGAACACAUACACACCGGGAACCACGAUGUCUUAAUGAAUACAACUAACAGC
rnacentral:rRNA from 1 species